CCUCCCAGAGGUCGCGUUAACAGAAUAUUUUCCGUAUUUGACAGUUUUGGUUUUUUUAAAAGACGGAAAAAUUUGAAGACCGUCGGUCAUUUUGACAGGUUAUAAUUCACACCCUUGACUGUUGCACAUGCGCAAACAUUAUAGACUUUAUGCAAAAAGUUAAUCGUAGAGGCAUCUAAAAUCAAUCAAUAAAAAAAAUCCUUUCUGAAAAUCAUCUCAUGGAAUCUGAACUGAGUCUUUCUGGCCGGGAGCUGGCAGCAUGUUGAAGAGUUAUGGACCGGACGCUUUGGAGCGUCUGGUUAGGAAGAGCUUUCCAAACCUUUGGUUGACAUGACGCCUUUAAUUCUCCGGUACAAACCAGAGAAAACUAAAGAGAAUGCAAUGUUGUGUUAAUCCAUUUAUAGUCUAAACAGAGGAGCCGACAGUUUAUCUUGAGAACAUAAAUGACGGUGCAGAAGCUAAUUAGACCCUAACAUGCACAACCAAUGAGAACGCAGCUCCGCCGCUGUGAAGAAUUAAACUUAACUCAUCCAGCGGUUUUAACAAAUGGAGCUGGAAGACAUUAACCUCCCGCGCCCAGAAGGAGAGCGAAACCACAAAAAAAUC